rnacentral:rRNA from 1 species
GCCACUGCUAUUGGGGUUCGGCUAAGCCAUGCGAGUGGAGGGCGUCCCGCAAGGGAUGGCCCCGCAGACGGCUCAGUAACACGUCGUCAACCCACCUUAGGGUGGGGGACAACCUCGGGAAACUGAGGAUAAUCCCCCCAUAGGCGGGGGAGGCUGGAAUGCGCCCCCGCUGAAAGCUCAGGCGCCCUAGGACGGGACGGCGGCCUAUCAGGUAGUUGGUGGUGUGACG